GAAGAAAAAAACCCGAGCCCAGACCCAAAGGUAAACCAACCUCCCAACAAACAAACAAACAAGCAAACAGACAUGACAACAGCCCAGACCGAAACAGAAUAAAAUGCAGGAGCUGUCGCCCGAACCCGAGCAUGGAGCUCGGUGCUGAGGCUGGUGGUGCCGGUGCCGGGGCUCUGCAGCGGGCAAAGGGCUGCCCCUGCACGGCCAAGCCCCCGCCGCCGGUGCCGGGGGGCAGCAGCCCGGGCUGAAGCCGCUCCGUUUGGCUCUGGCCAGACCUCCCCAAACCCGUAUCAGCCUUUUAAGUUUCCCCUUUGUUUUCAGAAACUCGUACACGUUUCCUGCCCGCUAUGAAGACAUAGCAGGCUCCCCAAACCUCUCCCCAGCCGCAAGUGCACGCUAGACGUGCUCCCGGGCACAGCGAGCAAGUUACUUUCCCUAUCAGCCGAGGUGCAACCACCCGAAAGUCACAGCCAGCAUCUCCUUUCCAGUGGAGGAAACUGCUCCUGGAAAUGGGGAAAGCUCCUCUGAAAGGCAACAUUUCGACUUGGGAUGCUCCUUUCGGAUUCCUGCUUCAUUACUCGCUCCAUUCCUUUGCAGAAAAACACUGCAGAUGACACCGGAGUUGAGGGUUAAUAUUUUCCCCCCUGCUCUCCCGGACUGAACUGCUGCAGACCCAGAAGUUAAGCUGGAAGAGAGCUCUCCUUUCAAAGCCUCCCCAGUUUCGCAGACUAAUACACCUACGUGAGGCAAAGAGAGGGAAACGCCGUGUCUCGGGGAGAAAGGCAUGUCAGAGGCGCUCUCCCCUCGGCUGUGCAGAGGGAGGAGGCUCUUCCGAGGGUUUUCGCUGCGAUACAAAAUUGUUAAGGAUAAUUCACUGCCCUGACUGCCUCUUUAAUUUUUUUUUUUUUUUUUUUCUUCGAGAUGGUCAAAAUCAGCUGUAAACCGGGCAAAGCUGUCAAAGAAACAGCUAUCCUCAAACAUGAGUUUCAAGUUUCUGUUCCUUUCGCGAACGACCGAGAGUAAGCACCAUCGGCUAUAUAGUGGCAAUUAACUGUAUCAGCCUCACAUUUAAGAAAAUGAGCGAGAUAUUAAACUCUUAAUUCCAAUCAUUACAAAUAAUUUUCAUGAAGGGAACUUCUAAAAGAUUUUUUCCCCCUCCUUUACACUUUCCAGUCUAUUUUUUAACCCCUGAGUGAUUUACUAUGUAAGUAAUUUUAGAGGAUACAGUUUACAGCUUGAGUUAUUAGACUGAACACCUCUGGCUGACACCACAACACCUUUUUUUCUGCCUGCAGCUGUGAGUCACAACCCCAUUUUCAUACCAAACUGCUCCACAUUCCUUUACAAUAUAGGCUUCCUUUUUGCAAAGAUC